CCCUUAGAUGUUCUGGGCAGCACGCGCGCUACAAUGGUCUUAGCAAACGGAUGCAUUCUCGAAGGAGAAUGCCAAUCUUGGAAUCUAUGCCUUGGUCGGGACAGUUGCUUGCAAUUUUUCGACUCGAACCAGGAAUUCCUUGUAAUCGUGAUUCAUCACAUCACGAUGAAUACGUCCCUGCCCUUUGUACACACCGCCCGUCGCUCCUACCGAUCGAAGAGUUAGGUGAAUUGUUUUGAUCGAUAAGAUUUGACUAUGGUCAACUCUCGUUGUGAAAUUCUGUGAAUCUGACUGUUUAGAGGAAGGAAAAGUCGUAACA
rnacentral:rRNA from 1 species